UUUUCUUUUGCCACACCAUAUUUACUUAUGCAAAAUAUGGCAUCUCCCGAACAUUUUUAUUUUAAUAUUUGAAAACUUUUGUCGUUUGACUUAUUUAGGAUAUAAAUUUGAAACGGUUUUGAAUUAACCCGAGAUUAAUUAAGUGACGGAGGUGACGUGCCAUCAUUAACGUGAGAUUACUGUAGCAUGAUUGUCCGGGCGUUACAUUGACCAUAUUGCAGUUUUUUUAUGCACGCUAUAAUGUACUCCGGCUGUCGGUGGGGGAAAGAGAUGGUACGAGCCGACGGCGAGUAAUUUGGGAGAUUCGCGAAGACUCUGUUUCCUUAACGAGAGAACAUCUGUUGUGUAUCGGAUGUCCCUGCUCCAGAAUUCUUUCUAAAUGCAGGGCGUUUUUGUAAAAGUGCAAGUGGUACGGGGCAACUUCUCUUCAUCUCGUGCAGCUGAUGUGCAGGCAGGCACAUCAUCACCACCAACUCGGUUUUUUAUAGGAGUAUAGAGAUAUUUUGUUGGCACUACAAUACCUGAGUACUGAUUCUUUGUGGGGUUUUUUUUUUUGUUUCUUAGGGCUACUGGUUGUCACCUCAUGCAUCUACGCUUGGUGGUUUAGGCCCUCUUUUCGCUAAAUUCUUAAUAUUCCAGGUAUGUUCAUAUGAACCACCUUAGGAUCUUCCAUAACUAUCAAUAUUUUAUUUGCACUAUUUUUUCACUCGCUCUAAAAAGGUGUAUAUAUAUAUAUAUAUAUAUAUAUAUAUAUAUAUAUCCACUACCUAAAAAACGGUAUGGUUCCGUCUCCCCUCUUACGUCGCUAAGUUUCGUCGGACCUCCCACUUCCGAUAACCCCACACCGCUUUGUCCGCUGGUCCCAUCUUAUGUCCUGGUCUAUCUCCUUAAUCGCCGCCGAAAUCACCAGCCCCCGUUCCCAAAAUCCAUCACGGGAUGUCCUCGCUGCCAACUACGUCUGCUCCCAUCUACCCCGCCGCCCCGUCUCCCCUGAGUCCCCUCUCCCAAACCCCACGGUGAAUUCAGAUCCGACAUUCCGGUCUGGCGGGGAAGGCAGGUAUUGCGGCCAAGCGACAACGAUGAUGAUAAGGAAGACCCUGGGGCCAUGUGACGGGAGCAAGUCACACAGACACAGGCGCUUCCUGACCAGCAGGAGACGCCGCAAUGGCUGCGAGGAGGAGGUUGCCAAGCGGGAGUGAGGAAUCUCCCGUGGUAGCCGGGGCCGCUGCUGAUUCAGACAAGGCGAGUAAGAGGGAUGCAGGCCAUGCCAGGGCCGCGGAGGCGUCCACCACCGUACAACAUGCAUGGAGAUGAGGUGGCGGCUCGAGCUGCAGCGGGCGCGGCCAUACGAGCUCGUCGUCGGGAGGAGGGAGGCCACCGAGGGCAUCUAGCGGCAAAAGGAUCAGCUUUAGGUACAGAUCGAGCCGGUGCUACUGCUCUCUAGGGCUCUUGCCGCGCUGCACAACUACAAAUGCAGAAUCUGGGGAGGGGUUAUCUGUGGAGAAGGCACGGCUUGGAGAUCUGGAGAGGCUGCUUAAGACGAGGCAGUAUUGUAUCCAGGUUGCUGCCUUGUAACAUGUGGUAUUCCAUGAGCUGUCGAUCAGUUGCAGAAAAUUGUCUUCCAUGUUCUGAGAAAAUGAUUAUCUCUGUAGAUCCUGCCGAGUUAGACAUGCUGCACACGUUUUAACGACAUAUCAGAUUUCCAUUCUUGAAGAUCACAGGUGCAUUGUGUCUUAUAUUUUUUAGAACAAUUAAAAAUAUGUAGUAGAUGCAACUGCAGACCUAGGAUUUAGUUCAUGUCCUUUGUGGGUACGCCCAGGAUAAGAUGGUACUGGUCAAGAUGUAUGUUGAUCUUAGCCGCUUCUUAUGGACACAUGAGAAUUUUUUGUUUUCCUUUCUUAAA